rnacentral:rRNA from 1 species
UACGUAGGUGGCAAGCGUUAUCCGGAAUUAUUGGGCGUAAAGCGCGCGCAGGUGGUUUCUUAAGUCUGAUGUGAAAGCCCGGGGCUCAACCCCGGAGGGUCCGCGGAGACUGGAGGACUGGAGGGUCGGAGAGGAGUGCGGAAUUCCUGGUGUAGCGGUGGAAUGCGUAGAGAUCAGGAGGAACACCGAUGGCGAAGGCAGCACUCUGGCCGAAGUCCUGACGCUGAGGCGCGAAAGCUGGGGGAGCGAACGGG